rnacentral:lncRNA from 1 species
GCCUGGCACUCUGGGAUGAACUGUUACAGUGCACCACAUGCCAUGUACACAACAAAAUUUCAGAAUUAGGAAGAAUCUUGGUCAAAAUGCGUAGCUCAUUC